rnacentral:rRNA from 1 species
GACAAUGGACGAAAGUCUGAUCCAGCUAUGCCGCGUGCAGGAUGACGGCCCUACGGGUUGUAAACUGCUUUUAUACAGGAAGAAACACCCCGACGUGUCGGGGCUUGACGGUACUGUAAGAAUAAGGAUCGGCUAACUCCGUGCCAGCAGCCGCGGUAAUACGGAGGAUUCGAGCGUUAUCCGGAAUCAUUGGGUUUAAAGGGUCCGCAGGCGGUUUUUUAAGUCAGAGGUGAAAUCCUGCAGCUCAACUGUAGAAUUGCCUUUGAUACUGAAAGACUUGAGUUAUUGUGAAGUGGUUAGAAUGUGUGGUGUAGCGGUGAAAUGCAUAGAUAUCACACAGAAUACCGAUUGCGAAGGCAGAUCACUAACAAUAUACUGACGCUCAGGGACGAAAGCGUGGGUAGCGAACAGGAUUAGAUACCCUGGUAGUCCACGCCGUAAACGAUGGAUACUAGCUGUAUGUCUACUUCAGGUAGAUGUGUGGCCAAGCGAAAGUGAUAAGUAUCCCACCUGGGGAGUACGAUCGCAAGAUUGAAACUCAAAGGAAUUGACGGGGGCCCGCACAAGCGGUGGAGCAUGUGGUUUAAUUCGAUGAUACGCGAGGAACCUUACC